UCGCACGUUGUGCAGGCAAGC
rnacentral:miRNA from 1 species